UUACGGCCGUAUCACGUUGAACCACCGGUUAUCGUACGAUCACCGAAGUUAAGCAAUGUCAAUCCUGGUCAAUACCCAGAUGGGUGACCGCUUGGGAAUACCAGGUGCUGUAAG